rnacentral:rRNA from 1 species
UACAGAGGGCGCAAGCGUUGUUCGGAAUCAUUGGGCGUAAAGGGUGCGUAGGCGGCGCGGUAAGUCGGGGGUGAAAUCUCGGAGCUUAACUCCGAAACUGCAUUCGAUACUGCCGUGCUUGAGGACUGGAGAGGAGACUGGAAUUUACGGUGUAGCGGUGAAAUGCGUAGAUAUCGUAAGGAACACCAGUGGCGAAGGCGGGUCUCUGGACAGUUCCUGACGCUGAGGCACGAAGGUCAGGGGAGCAAACGGG